UACAGAGGGUGCGAGCGUUAAUCGGAAUUACUGGGCGUAAAGGGCGCGUAGGCGGACCUGCAAGUGAGAUGUGAAAUACCCGGGCUUAACCUGGGAAUGGCAUCUUAAACUGCGAGUCUGGAGUACUGUAGAGGAUAGUGGAAUUUCCGGUGUAGCGGUGAAAUGCGUAGAGAUCGGAAGGAACAUCAGUGGCGAAGGCGACUGUCUGGACAGAUACUGACGCUGAGGCGCGAAAGCGUGGGGAGCAAACAGG
rnacentral:rRNA from 1 species